rnacentral:rRNA from 1 species
CAGCAGUCGCCGCGGUAAUACAGAGGGUGCAAGCGUUAAUCGGAAUUACUGGGCGUAAAGCGCGCGUAGGUGGUUUGUUAAGUUGGAUGUGAAAGCCCCGGGCUCAACCUGGGAACUGCAUCCAAAACUGGCAAGCUAGAGUACGGUAGAGGGUGGUGGAAUUUCCUGUGUAGCGGUGAAAUGCGUAGAUAUAGGAAGGAACACCAGUGGCGAAGGCGACCACCUGGACUGAUACUGACACUGAGGUGCGAAAGCGUGGGGAGCAAACAGGAUUAGAUACCCGCGUAGUCCCUGUCUCUUAUAC